UACAGGGGGUGCAAACGUUGCCCGGAAUCAUUGGGCGUAAAGCGCACGUAGGCGGUCUGUUAUGUCGGAUGUGAAAGCCCUUGGCUUAACUGAGGAAGUGCAUCCGAAACUGGCAGGCUAGAGUACUAAAGAGGGUCGCGGAAUUCCCGGUGUAGAGGUGAAAUUCGUAGAUAUCGGGAGGAACACCGGUGGCGAAGGCGGCGACAUGGGUAGAUACUGACGCUGAGGUGCGAAAGCGUGGGGAGCAAACAGG
rnacentral:rRNA from 1 species